AGCGAACGCUGGCGGCAGGCCUAACACAUGCAAGUCGAACGAACCUUUCGGGGUUAGUGGCGGACGGGUGAGUAACACGUGGGAACGUGCCUUUAGGUUCGGAAUAACUCAGGGAAACUUGUGCUAAUACCGAAUGUGCCCUUCGGGGGAAAGAUUAAUCGCCUUUAGAGCGGCCCGCGUCUGAUUAGCUAGUUGGUUGAGGUAAUGGCUCACCAAGGCGACGAUCAGUAGCUGGGCUGAGAGGAUGAUCAGCCACAUUGGGACUGAGACACGGCCCAAACUCCUACGGGAAGCAGCAGUGGGGAAUCUUGCGCAAUGGGCGAAAGCCUGACGCAGCCAUGCCGCGUGAAUGAUGAAGGUCUUAGGAUUGUAAAAUUCUUUCACCGGGGACGAUAAUGACGGUACCCGGAGAAGAAGCCCCGGCUAACUUCGUG
rnacentral:rRNA from 1 species